CCCCUAGAUGUUCUGGGCCGCACGCGCGCUACACUGAACAGUUCAACAAGUCUUAACCUUGGCCGAUAGGUCUGGGUAAUCUUUGAACGCUGUUCGUGAUUGGGAUAGACCUUUGCAAUUAUGGGUCUUCAACGAGGAAUUCCUAGUAAACGCAAGUCAUCAGCUUGCAUUGAUUACGUCCCUGCCCUUUGUACACACCGCCCGUCGCACCUACCGAUUGAGUGAUCCGGUGAAUUAUUCGGACUGCAAUGCACCCAGUUCCUGGAUGCACUUGCGGAAAGUUUUGUGAACCUUACCACUUAGAGGAAGGAGAAGUCGUANCA
rnacentral:rRNA from 1 species